rnacentral:rRNA from 1 species
CGAGCGGACAGAUGGGAGCUUGCUCCCUGAUGUUAGCGGCGGACGGGUGAGUAACACGUGGGUAACCUGCCUGUAAGACUGGGAUAACUCCGGGAAACCGGGGCUAAUACCGGAUGCUUGUUUGAACCGCAUGGUUCAAACAUAAAAGGUGGCUUCGGCUACCACUUACAGAUGGACCCGCGGCGCAUUAGCUAGUUGGUGAGGUAAUGGCUCACCAAGGCAACGAUGCGUAGCCGACCUGAGAGGGUGAUCGGCCACACUGGGACUGAGACACGGCCCAGACUCCUACGGGAGGCAGCAGUAGGGAAUCUUCCGCAAUGGACGAAAGUCUGACGGAGCAACGCCGCGUGAGUGAUGAAGGUUUUCGGAUCGUAAAGCUCUGUUGUUAGGGAAGAACAAGUGCCGUUCAAAUAGGGCGGCACCUUGACGGUACCUAACCAGAAAGCCACGGCUAACUACGUGCCAGCAGCCGCGGUAAUACGUAGGUGGCAAGCGUUGUCCGGAAUUAUUGGGCGUAAAGGGCUCGCAGGCGGUUUCUUAAGUCUGAUGUGAAAGCCCCCGGCUCAACCGGGGAGGGUCAUUGGAAACUGGGGAACUUGAGUGCAGAAGAGGAGAGUGGAAUUCCACGUGUAGCGGUGAAAUGCGUAGAGAUGUGGAGGAACACCAGUGGCGAAGGCGACUCUCUGGUCUGUAACUGACGCUGAGGAGCGAAAGCGUGGGGAGCGAACAGG